rnacentral:rRNA from 1 species
AGCAGCCGCGGUAAUUCCAGCUCCAAUAGCGUAUAUUAAAGUUGUUGCAGUUAAAAAGCUCGUAGUUGAAUUUCGAGAUCAAAUUGUUGGUCGUGCCUUGGUACGCACUGGCAUUAUUGGUUUCUCCCUUCUGAAGAACCAUGAUGUCAUUAAUUUGGUGUCUUGGGGAAUCAGGACUGUUACUUUGAAAAAAUUAGAGUGUUUAAAGCAAGCUCACGCUUGAAUACAUUAGCAUGGAAUAAUGAAAUAGGACGUUUGACCCUAUUUUGUUGGUUUCUAGGAUCGACGUAAUGAUUAAUAGGGAUAGUUGGGGGCAUUAGUAUUCAAUUGUCAGAGGUGAAAUUCUUGGAUUUUAUUGAAGACUAACUACUGCGAAAGCAUUUGCCAAGGAUGUUUUCAUUAAUCAAGAACGAAAGUUAGGGGAUCGAAGACGAUCAGAUACCGUCGUAGUCUUAACCAUAAACUAUAGCCGACUAGGGAUCGGAUGAUGUUAAUUUUAUAAUUGACUCAUUCGGCGCCU